AUUGAACGCUGGCGGCAUGCCUUACACAUGCAAGUCGAACGGCAGCACGGGAGCAAUCCUGGUGGCGAGUGGCGAACGGGUGAGUAAUGUAUCGGAACGUACCUUUCAGUGAGGGAUAACGUAGCGAAAGUUACGCUAAUACCGCAUAUUCUGUGAGCAGGAAAGCAGGGGAUCGCAAGACCUUGCGCUGAUUGAGCGGCCGAUAUCAGAUUAGCUAGUUGGUGAGGUAAAGGCUCACCAAGGCGACGAUCUGUAGCGGGUCUGAGAGAAUGAUCAGCCACACUGGCACUGGAACACGGGCCAGACUCCUACGGGAGGCCAGCAGUGAGGAAUAUUGGGCAAUGGGCGAAAGCCUGACCCAGCCACGCCGCGUGAGUGAUGAAGGCCCUCGGGUCGUAAAGCUCUGUGGAGAGGGACGAAAACCCUGGUUUCAAAUAGGCUCCAGGCUUGACGGUACCUCUUUAGCAAGCACCGGCU
rnacentral:rRNA from 1 species